rnacentral:lncRNA from 10 species
GGCAGGGUAUAGGGAGAUCACAAGGGUUAGUGCAGUUUCCUGAGACUGCUAACAUGGCCUGUUUCCCCUAGGACUGAAGAAGGUCCCUGGAGGGGAGGGAAUGGGAAGAUACAGGUUCUGGAAAUCUCAGUGAGGCUGAGGAGUGAGUUCCUCCCAAGAACCUGGAAAUAAGGGUGGCUCCUGAGAGUUACAAAAAAACCCGUCUAGAACACAUGUGGGAGUAAAUCCAAAAUGGCUGGUCUGUAAAUGUGUGACUGAGUGUUUGGGAACCAACUAAAGUCUGUCAAGGGUGGUGGCUGAGGACGCCUCGGGGAGGUUGGGCUGGAGGGGGACCCUAUUGGGUGAACAGAAAUCCCAAUUGUAUUAAGUAAACUAAUAAAGGUAAAGCGUUUACUGUAGUGUCCAUCACUCAGCAAGCACUAA